rnacentral:misc_RNA from 1 species
GCAAACUUGGUCAUUUAGAGGAAGUAAAAGUCGUAACAAGGUUUCCGUAGGUGAACCUGCGGAAGGAUCAUUAUUGAAAACAAACCCAGCUGAGGGUUGUCGCUGGCCUCUUGAGGCAUGUGCACGCCCUUUGACUGAUCAUCCAUAUCACCCUUGUGCACCUUUGCGUAAAGUUCUUGGUUCCUUCGUUGGUCCUUGGGCUUGCGCUUUUUCUACAAACCAUGAUGCAUGUUUUUGAAUGGCUUGUACGAUAAUAAUGUACAUAAUACAACUUUCAACAACGGAUCUCUUGGCUCUCGCAUCGAUGAAGAACGCAGC